rnacentral:rRNA from 1 species
AUUGAACGCUGGCGGCAGGCCUAACACAUGCAAGUCGAGCGAGCGGCGGACGGGUGAGUAAUGUCUGGGAAACUGCCUGAUGGAGUGGGAUAACUACUGGAAACGGUAGCUAAUACCGCAUACCAUCAGAUGUGCCCAGAUGGGAUUAGCUAGUAGGUGGGGUAACGGAUCACCUAGGCGACGAUCCCUAGCUGGUCUGAGAGGAUGACCAGCCGCACUGGAACUGGGAAACGGACCAGGGUACUACGAGAGGCAGCAGGGGGGAAAAUGGCACAAUGGGCGCAAGCCUGAUGCAGCCAUACCGAGUGUGUGAAGAAGGCCUUCGGGUUGUAAGGCACUUACAGCGGGGAGGCGUUACCCGCAGAAGAAGAACCGGCUAGCUGCGUGCCAGCCGCCGCGGUAAUAC